UGGAAAGCACCAAGUAAAGCAUGAGGCAGUGGGGACUGUGACAAGGGAUCUUUCCUUGGCUUAGGCAGGAACAGGGCCAGGCCAGCACUGUGGGCUUUUCUCCGAGGUGCCUUCCUGUCUGGGGCCCUGGGCACGGGAGCUGGGAUAGGGGUUAGCGGAUUUUUUCCACGCUGUUUCUCCAAGAUCCCUGACAGAGCCCAUCAGGACAGUCUUUUAUCAGCACUGCAUGCUUUAGUGAGUCUGUCAUGACUCACGCACAAUGUGCUCCACGCUGGAUUAAUCCAGCCAGCUUUCAUGCUCAGGAUGUGGCAACGGGACGGGGGGAGAGAGAGACGAGCAGAGAUGGAUGCACGGACUAACAAGAGCUGGAGAGAUCAGAAGCCCAAACCCCUUUGCUUGUCAAAGACAGGAUCUCAAUUUUAGGGUGAUCUGAAGGGGCAAAGAAAGAACAAACCUCGGUCAAUGAGAGAGAGGGGUAAAGAACAACAGCAUAUGCGCAAUGUGCCUCAGGUGGCAUGACCAGGAUUCAUCACCAAAUUUGGUCCGCUGGUUGGAUCAUUAGCUUCCCAGGCCUGGGCCGGCUACUGACUGGGAGCAUGACAUGAAUGUUGAUCCAGGCCCCCCAUGUGAUUGAUAAACAUAGAGCCAACUGAUCCUUGCAGAGUCCCACUGGAAAUACACUUGCUCAAUGACGAUGACCCAUUUACAGUUACAUUUUGAGACCCAACAAUUAGCCCAUUUUUAAUCCAUUUAAUGUGUGUCGUGUUAAUUUGAUAUCAUUCUAGUUUUUUGAUCAAAAUAUCGUGUGGAACCAAGUCAAACGCCGCACAGAGUCUAAGUAUCUUAUGUCAAUACUGUUACCUUUAUCAACCAAACUUGUAACCUGAUCCAAAAAAGAUAUCAAGUUAGUUUGACAGGAUCUAUUUUCCA